rnacentral:rRNA from 1 species
CUACGGGCCGCUCCAGCUAAGGAUUUUUUACAAUGCGCGAAAGCGUGAUAGAGCGAACCAAAGUGUAUCUCAAUUUGAGAUGCUUUUGUGAACUGUAAACAUGUUCACGAAUAAGGACUGGGCAAGACGAGUGCCAGCCGCCGCGGUAAUACUCGCGGUCCAAGUCGCAGCCGGUUUUAUUGGGUCUAAAACAUCCGUAGCUUGCUUUGUAAGUUUCUUGUGAAAUCUGGCAUCUCAAGUGUCAGGCCGGCAAGAAAUACUGCAUUGCUCGAGACUGGAAGACGUGAAGAGUACGGCCAACGUAGCAGUUAAAUGCGUUAAUUUUGGUCGGACUAACAACAGCGAAGGCACUUCACGAGGACAGUUCUGACAGUAAGGGAUGAAGGCUAGGGGCGCAAAAGGGAUUAGAUACCCGCGUAGUC